rnacentral:rRNA from 1 species
UACGUAGGUGGCAAGCGUUGUCCGGAUUUACUGGGCGUAAAGAGCGCGCAGGCGGUCGAUCAAGUCGCGUGUGAAAGCCCCCGGCUCAACUGGGGAGGGUCACGCGAUACUGAUCGACUCGAAGGCAGGAGAGGGUAGUGGAAUUCCCGGUGUAGUGGUGAAAUGCGUAGAUAUCGGGAGGAACACCAGUGGCGAAGGCGACUACCUGGCCUGUUCUUGACGCUGAGGCGCGAAAGCUAGGGAGCAACGGGA